GGAGCCCCUUUGUGUUUUCUUCCUUUAGGGAGUCAAAACAGUAUAAAACACCUACUGCCAUGUUUCUUGAUGCCCAUAUUAAAUUCCAGGUUUCUUAAAGAAACCUUGUACUCCCCUAAGACAAACUCUGUCCACUUUGCCAUCUCGUAGGAAAAAUACAAGCCAUGUAUGUUAUAUAUAUUGUCAGUCAUUUUUAUCUUUUUGUUUGGUAGAGUGGAAUGGCUAUUUGAUAAUCCUGUCAAGUCAUUUCCUAAAUAAUUCAUUGUUUUCAUUAAAACUCCCUAUCACCUUUAGUUUAGUGGAGCCACACAGAAAAGGAAAAACUCUUUUUGGAAAUAGUUUCCAAAAAUCAACAGCAUGGGCACCCAAGCUCGCCGAAACGUGGAUGUUCUCGGCUGACUGAUUUGAUCCACAUGGAUAAGUAGAUUAAAAAUUAGGGAGGAAGAAAUCCCCAGAGAAGCCCAUCCUCCACGUGGUGGUAAGUAUGUUGUUGACUAAACAACUUUCAGAGCGGUUGGUAAUGGUCCGUUCCUACUUUCUGUCUAUCUGUCUCUAAGAUAAAGGCUAAAAUACAAACGGUGUAAGCAAACAGCCUUUCAAACCGACCUUUUAUGAAACAUGUCUUCAUUUUGAACAUUUUGAUGAUAAUAAUAAUUAUUAAUAUUAUCAUUACUGUUAUUUUACCUCAUACAAAGCUAUGCUUGAAUUCCUAGUACUCACAAUUUCUCGAUAUCAUCUCAGAGGAGAUGAUUUCUCCUGAGUAAACAAGGAUUCAAAGUGUGAAGGAAAGCAAAUCAAAAUAGUGUCAGCUGUUUAUAAACAGCAUACAUUUGUGAAUUUUGCUUCUUAGCAGCUCAAAUUGAUCUCAACUGAAUACCCCUUGAAGUUCUUUUCAGCUCUUGCUGUUUGCAGACGUAAGAUAUUUUUUCAUACCAGUGCAAAAAUGAAUGCUCUGUAUUGGUGGUUAGAUUCCUAAUGAGGCUGAUUUCCUAGAGUGAAAGGCCUGGAGUGUCAGUCCCACCUUUUUAACUAACAGUGACAAAAUAAAUAUUCCUGUUCUAUUGCUUUGGGGAAUGCC
rnacentral:lncRNA from 1 species